rnacentral:rRNA from 1 species
UACGUAGGGGGCUAGCGUUGUCCGGAAUCAUUGGGCGUAAAGCGCGUGUAGGCGGUCCGGUAAGUCCGCUGUGAAAGUCGGGGGCUCAACCCUCGAAUGCCGGUGGAUACUGUCGGGCUAGAGUCCGGAAGAGGCGAGUGGAAUUCCUGGUGUAGCGGUGGAAUGCGCAGAUAUCAGGAGGAACACCGAUAGCGAAGGCAGCUCGCUGGGACGGUACUGACGCUGAGGCGCGAAAGCGUGGGGAGCGAACAGG